GUGUCCCCCACUGGAGAGAGGCCGCUGCCCACACGGGUCUGGCGGCCCACCGAAGGAGCAAACGUGGCAUCGCCCGCGUGAAUCUCUCAGGUAAAGCGGACAGUGGGGCAGCA
rnacentral:ncRNA from 2 species